ACUAAAUGUAGAUGAAAUUAAAAACUAAUUGCACAGUUUUGUUGUACUUUGCGAGACGAAUCUUUUGAGCCUAAUUAGUCAAUAUUUGGACAAUAAUUCACAAAUACAAACGAAACGCUACAGUGUGCUACAGUGCUGUAACAGUAAUUUGGCACCCCCAAAUUCCCCAACUAAACACGGCCUUUGGAGGCCUCUUUGGCACACGACGGGCUUGGC
rnacentral:lncRNA from 1 species